GGCCGAGGGCGGCCGCCCGCUCCCAGCCUUUUCUACCCGGGCUGGAGCCGGGGCUGGGUCUCGGGGACCCUCGUCGGGGUAGAUCCGGGGGUAGUUGCUCCUCCCGCCGUGCCCGGCGGGUCAGCUCGAGGAGCCUCUCGGCAGAGAAGCUGAACCUGAGAGAUUUCGGCAGCGGACCCUUUCGGCGCGACUCCUGAUUUGCCCUGAUGUUUUGUCACUGUGCUUCUCCAGCAUCUGGCUUUCAGGAGAGAAAAGCAGCAGAACAGAACCGAACCUGAGGCCCCUUCACAAGUGAUGAAACAGUCAAAGGAAAACAAAUAGCAGAAGUGUCCUGAGGCCACACAGCAACAAAGCUUCCUGGGGAACUUCAAAAGAAUAAUCUGCAACUUUGGAAUGUCUGAACUCGGCCAACUUUUGAAGAAAAACUUCUGUGGGGAAGACCUUCAAAGGCACCCUAGGAGACCUUCCUGCCCUUGGUUUAUGU
rnacentral:lncRNA from 1 species